rnacentral:rRNA from 1 species
UGAUGUGAAAGCCCACGGGCUCAACCGUGGAGGGUCAUUGGAAACUGGAAAACUUGAGUGCACAAGAGGAAAGUGGAAUUCCAUGUGUAGCGGUGAAAUGCGCAGAGAUAUGGAGGAACACCAGUGGCGAAGGCGACUUUCUGGUCUGUAACUGACGCUGAUGUGCGAAAGCGUGGGGAUCAAACAGGAUUAGAUACCCUGGUAGUCCACGCCGUAAACGAUGAGUGCUAAGUGUUAGGGGGUGUCCGCCCCUUAUAGCUGCAAGUAUCGCAUUUAGCACUCGGCCUGGGGAGUACGACCGCAAGGUUUAAACUGAAAGGAAUUGACGGCGACCCGGACAAGGGGCGUGGGGUGUGGUUUAAUUCUAAGCAACGCAAAUAACCUUACCUUGUCUUGACAUGGUUUGAUAACUCUAGAAAUAU